UUUUCUUUGCUCUUCUUCUUCUUUG
rnacentral:sRNA from 1 species